rnacentral:tRNA from 1 species
UGUAUUUUGGUGUAUGGUGCACGUGAGCUUUUGGUGCUUUUGGUGUUAGUUUAAUUCUGACAGGUACAA